UGCCAGCAGCCGCGGUAAUACGGAGGGUGCAAGCAUUAAUCGGAUUUAUUGGGCGUAAAGAGCGAGCAGGCGGACGAGAAAGUCAGGUGUGAAAUUUCGAGGCUCAACCUCGAAGCUGCGCUUGAAACUUCUCGUCUUGAGGAUAGGCGGAGAAAAUGGAAUUUCACGUGUAGCGGUGGAAUGCGUAGAUACGUGAAAGAAUGCCGGUGGCGAAAGCGAUUUUCUAGCUUAUUCCUGACGCUCAGUCGCGAGAGCAAGGGGAGCAAACAGGAUUAGAUA
rnacentral:rRNA from 1 species